AAGUCGUAACAAGGUCUCCGUUGGUGAACCAGCGGAGGGAUCAUUACAGGACGUCAUACUCCCGUAAUACCACUGUGAAUCUUACCUACCGUCGUUGCCUCGGCGUGGCGCCCCCCGGGGAAACCCGCGGCGCCCGCCGGCGGCCCGCAAACUCUGUUUUAGAACUACGCAUCUCCGAGUAUUAUACAAACGAGUCAAAACUUUCAACAACGGAUCUCUUGGUUCUG
rnacentral:misc_RNA from 1 species